rnacentral:miRNA from 1 species
AGUCUGGCCCUUCCUCUUCUUU